rnacentral:rRNA from 1 species
UACGUAGGCAGCAAGCGUUGUUCGGAGUUACUGGGCGUAAAGCGUGCGCAGGCGGUUUGGCAAGUCAGAUGUGAAAUCCCCCGAGCUCAACUUGGGAACUGCGUUUGAAACUGCCAGACUAGAAUAUGUCAGAGGGGGGUAGAAUUCCACGUGUAGCAGUGAAAUGCGUAGAGAUGUGGAGGAAUACCAAUGGCGAAGGCAGCCCCCCUGGGAUAAGUAUUUGACGCUCAUGCACGAAAGCGUGGGGAGCAAACAGG